GUUUAGCCUGGUUAGCAGCAAAUUUCUCUUUUCUUUUUCCCUGUAUCAUUUAAGAUGCAUUCUGGAACCAUAAUUUAGAAUCAAUGGUGAGUAACUGAAGGUUAACAGAAUGCCUGGUUGUCAAGUAUGCUUAAUGCUUUUCUAUAGUACAUUGUGGUAUGGUGAAGUCUGCUGGCUUGUCUGCUAGUUUGUCUGCUAGCUUGGUGAAGUACCAAGAUAUAUUGAAGAAUACAACAAUAUAAAAGGACGAGAUACUUGACCUAAUGUGGAUCAGCUUAAAAUGCGAAGGAUGAAGAAUCCAUUUUAAUGUGCAAGCAACAACUGAGGCAAAAUGACAUUUUCAAUAUCCAUUCAAGAAAUACUGGCUAAAAAAUAAUAGCUGCUAACAGUCAAAGAGAAAUAUGUUCUUUACUUCUCAGUUCUUAGUCCAUAUUUUCCUUUGUUAAUUUUAAACACUAGAUAAAACUGGAGAGUGUUAGAAUUAAAAGCUCAUAUUAAACAACUGAAUACAAGUGAAAUAAAAACAGUACAUUAAUCCAUUAUGUGAUACUGUGCUACUAGGUUUGUUAAAUAACAAGUUCUUAUUUUCAAGGGCUAUCGCAAAAUUGCUACUCAGUAGCAUUGUUCAGAUAAGGUA